rnacentral:rRNA from 1 species
GUAGGUGGCAAGCGUUGUCCGGAAUUAUUGGGCGUAAAGCGCGCGCAGGCGGUUCUUUAAGUCUGAUGUGAAAGCCCACGGCUCAACCGUGGAGGGUCAUUGGAAACUGGAGAACUUGAGUACAGAAGAGGAAAGCGGAAUUCCACGUGUAGCGGUGAAAUGCGUAGAGAUGUGGAGGAACACCAGUGGCGAAGGCGGCUUUCUGGUCUGUAACUGACGCUGAGGCGCGAAAGCGUGGGGAGCAAACAGGGAUUAGAUACCCUGGUAGUCCACGCCGUAAACGAUGAGUGCUAAGUGUUAGGGGGGUUUCCGCCCCCUUAGUGCUGCAGCUAACGCAUUAAGCACUCCGCCUGGGGAUACGGCCGCAAGGCUG